rnacentral:lncRNA from 1 species
UGUGCUGUCUGUCACUGAGUGCAAAGGGUCUUGAGGCUUCCAGGCCUGAGUGCUGGGGCUGUCAGUCACAGACAGCCCCGCCCAUCCUCGUCCACUGGCCCAUCAGGGCACUACCUGACUUUCCCCUCGGCUCAGUCUAGAAUAAGAGCAGCCUUGGUGGCUGUGCUGGACGCCUGGCGGAGGUACUGGCGGCAAUGCAGUCACACAACAUGAAGUUCAGGCUGGUGCUUUUGUUAAACAGCCCUUCUUAGCAAAGCUGGUGAACUCCAGACACUGGUCCAUUGUGGUUUUUUCCUCAUGAGAGGUUUCAAUGCUAUCUACCUCUCCGGACCCAAAUCCUUCCCAAAUGGAUGCAAGGAGGAUUAGGGAAAACAGCUCCAUGACUUCCCAAAGCGUCAUUCUUGGGGCGGGUGCUGCUCAGCCACCCACCUUGCUUUGUCCUGAAGUUGCUGCAUUAUCUCGCUCCAGGCCCCGCAGGGUGGACAGGCACAUAAAGGACUCCUGCUAGGUCCCUUUGACCAGCCUUUACUUCAGAAACCCUUUUAAGCUAAUUUUUCCUGACAUUUCCAACAGGCCUUUGAAAAUGCAGUGACUGAGAGAGCAACCAUGUGCUCCAUAACAUGCUCCCGAGUAGGGGGCGUUACUACAUCUAAUCUCCACCUUCUGCCUUGGACCUGAAUCUUCCGGGCAGCAAACAGCUAAGAAGAUUAAGAAGCAAAUGCUGGAAGGCCGGAUGUGUGCAGUGAGGAGAAGGCAUUGGUGAAAAUCAUGGUGACAAAACAUUAGCUGUGCUGAAAACAUUAGCACUGGAAAAGACGUUGGUGACCCUCACCAAAAUUCCUCAUCAACUGAAGCCCAGGGAGAGGCUCAGGGAUUCUCUCAAGCUGGUUGAUUGUCAAACGACGUAUAUAAGAUGUGGCCACAAUGCAUUCUGAGAAACAGUCUUUGCGGUCUUUGGCCACGCCCAGAACCCUCGUCUGCUCUGUCUCUCCUCCCAGACAGACACUCCCGAGUUCAUGUCGGGAGAAGGAUGGCUCCCAGCUCCCCAGGGGAGGGAUUCAAGCCGUGGGAAGAGCCGAGCUCCAAGGACAUCGUGUUACACCCACUAAAAUGGUGUCAGGAGGCUCGGGAGGGAGGCGGCUCCAGGAACAAAGUACGACGAGGCCUGGGACUGUGUGGGAACAAUCUGGGCCUCACAGCUGCUCUGUGACAGCCCGUGUCCUCAGGUCCUUCCGGGCGGGGCCUCCUGAGCCUCCCACAGCACCUCUGCCACCCUUUUCCAGCACUUGGGCUGCUGUUCCACCUGGCCUCCAGCCCCUGAGGGGUGCCAGCCACACCAUGGAUGGGGAGGAGAGCCCCAUUUGGGGUAGUCACCUUGGAUACCUCUUUGCAUCCAGGGCGGUGGACCCUGUGUUUGGGGAGAAGUCCCGAUUCAGAAUUUGGAAUUGGGGUUUUGUGCUAAUUGGAUGCUUUUCUUCUGGCUUCAAAAUAAUCUUGUUUUGGUUGCUAAGAAACGCUCUUAAUUGA